rnacentral:tRNA from 1 species
GGAGAGUUGCCGGAGUGGUUUAACGGAACAGUUUGCUAAACUGUCAACUAUUAAAUAAAGUUACAUGGGUUCAAAUCCCAUACUCUCCG